CCUGUUCAACUCUCCUCAAAAACCAAGAAAAACAGAGGGACAGUUUGGUGAUUUCUGAAAGUUUUCCUGACAAGUGCUGAAACUUAAUCAUUGACUUAGCUCUAUAACUCAGUAAAUUUAAAUCUGCUGUAGAUACUGUAUGCUGUCAAAUGACCAGAAACCUUUUAGUCGCCUCUUAGAAGCAUCAGCUGCUAUCCCAACCCUGUUUGCUCAGAAGUCAGCUCUGAUUACUCCAUGAGACCUACAAUGGAAUUGGGGAGGCAGUGGGGAAGUGGGUGAGAAAUGAGAGGACAAUAAUACUUUUUUCCCCCUUGACUGUUAUAAGCAGCUGCUGCCAGCAACUAAAUGCUCAAGAUGGCAUAUAAUUAUCACUGGGCUUGAAAAACCUUCCAUUCCUACAGACAUACCUGGGACCAAGACUCACUGAGCAGAGUAGGACUGGCUUUUGAAUAAACACUCAUAUAGGAUUGCUCUGUAAACUGGAGAACAAAACCUAACUUUUACAAGAUUUCAUGAACUCCUGCGAAGAGAUUGUGCAUGCAUUUUCAGAAGUCUGUUUCUCCCUACUUGCAUUUUAUUUAAGUUGUUCAUAAAUACCAGAGAGACUUGGGUGUAUUAAAAAGAGUUGUAGCUGCAGUUCCAGUGUUGCACACAUUGGAGCCUGGCUACACAUUGCACUCGACAGCUCUGGCCAUGUAGAACACUAAAGAUUCCCUCCUGACAGAAAACUGGAAAGGUUUCAUUUUUCAUUUCAUUUUUGUUAUUUGUAUGCCGCCUUUCCACAGUUAAAAACACUGCUCAAGGCAGCUUACAUGACAAGAUUUACAUAAUUACAAAAGUCAUAAACAAUAAAUAAACCACAUAAAAAAACACCAAAACUAAAUGGAAAACAAUUUCCACAUAAAUCAAAAUCUAAAACUAAGAAUACAGCAUUAAUACCACAGCUUAAAACGAGAUAGGUAAAAAGUAACAGCAAUUUAAACAAAAAACAAAAUGGAGACCUCUCUGCCCAGCAGCAGCAGUCCUUUAUAGAGCCCAUCAGGCCCCGCCCUAGGCCAGAUGGUGAGUGGCAGGACUGGGGCCCUUAGGCACUGAGCAGGGGAGUCCUCAAUUCAGGCUCGUCUUCAAUUCAUUUUUUAAAAAAAUAUUUUAUUAGUUGAAUAUAAGAACAACAUAUAAUCAAAUAUAAGCUAUCAAAUACAUUUUUCCCCAACCCCCCCCCCAAAACAGCCCCAACUACACCCAGGUAAUUACAUUAGUAAUAUAAUCAAAUAAAAAUUAUUUCUACAGUUGCUAGUUUAAAAAAUCAUUCCACAUGCUCCCAUGUGCCUUAGGUGGUUUAAAUGCAUGUUCUGUCUUUGAUGCAUAUGUAAUAAAAGAGGACCACAUUAUGUAGAAGUUAUGUAGUUUCUCACGUUUUCUUUCACGUACUCUUUCUGUUAACUUUUCCAUCAAAAUUAAUUCCCAGACAUAAGCAUACCAGACGUCAUAUAGGUUCAAGUUUAAUGUCCACCAGUGUCUAGCAACAGCAAGACGUGCUGCAGUUAUAAGAUGCACAAUUAAGUCUUUGUCUCUAAGAUUUUGUGCUCCAUCUGCAAAUAUAGAAAGCAAUGCUAUUUUGGGAUCUAAAUUGAUCGAUUGAGAUGUAAUUUCAAUUUCAAUUUCCUGAAAAAAAAAAUUAAUCAGUUUUAUUGAUUUUCCAAUAAAAACAGCCAAUCAACAUAUCCACAUCACAAUCCAAUUAAAAACAAGAAACUAAAAUUUAAAAAAGACCAAAUUGUAAUACAAAUUGUAAUUAUUAAUUUUUCAGGGCUCCCCAUAGUCUGGACCUCUGAAGCAUAUCUCCAAAUCUUCAGUCCUGCCUCUUCUCAUUGUUUUCAUAUUUUCCACUUUCUGGUCUUAAUGCUUUAAAGUUCUCCAUUCCUGGCUAUGAGAUUCUCAAUCAUGUCAAAAAUCAUAUGUCCUUUCAUCCACCCAAUACAGCUUUAUUUGUAAAUAUAUAUUUUUUCAAUUGUCUAUUUACCAGCGCAGCUUUUCCUGACUUCAUUCCAAUCUUCCAAUCCGGGCUGUUGUCCAAGUUUAUCCUUUGAAGUUUAAAGACGCAGCAAACCCCAAGCUGUUAAAUCACUCCAAUCCGGGCUGUUGUCCAAAGCUUUCUUUUGAGAUUUAGUGACACAGUGCCUUCCAUGUUGUUGAGUUGUUGCUAUAGAUUGUUGGGUGAAACUGUUUGCAAUAUUGCAAUGUAAAUGAAGUGUAUUCCACAGAUAUAAGUCAUCUGGCGAUCAAUCAGCUUCUCGGAGACCACACAAUCUCCCCCCUCCGGGCCCUAGAGGGGGGGCUGUUAGACUUCCAUUCAGCCUUUUCUCUUGCUCAUAAUAAAAAACUUCUGCAAACAGCUGCACUAUAUGUUAUCCCAAAUUGUUAUCUCAAAACAUUACAAUGUCAGCCAGCAAAUAUUUCCUACUUCCCUCGAAAAAGGGGAGGAAUUCUCAUCUUUCCGUGCUGCAUCAUAUUAACAAAUGCCAUCUUGUUUCUUCUUUUAUAUUUAUCACGUCCUUCAAAUUUGAGUAAAGCUGCGCAGUUGAAUACUUAAUUAUAACUAGAAGUCCAUCUGUACUCUUUAAAAAAAAUAUUAGGUUUCUUAAUGAGGCUUGGCAUAGAAAACCAACUGUAGAUGUUAAGAAGAGAAAAAAGACUUACCAAACACCUCUGUAAUCCAAACGCCAUGAUGAGAAUCUCUUUGAAGUCCGAGCUUAAACACCAGGGACUGUGCAAUUCUGCAGAUUUUUUCUCAAUCUUCUUCAGUCCAGACUAUGUCUGUUUAUUGUCCAAAUCUAAUUAUUUUAUCAAACAGAUAUGUCCGGCAUGUGAGAGUGACUUCAGAGAGUGCCAGACGUACCCAGAGUCCUUGCCACUUGCACCUUGAUGCCAGCUGACAAAUCUUGGAUAUCUGCAGGUCUACGAGACAGUCCUCCCCCACCCUGGGGAGUCUGCCAGGGCUGAUUACCCCCAUAUCAGCCCUGAAUUACCGGCACGGCUGGGAUCUGAUUGUAUGGGAGUCAGCCAUUUCCCACCGCCAGAAACAGGAAUUUCCUGAAAUAUUUUUAACCAGAAGUUUUUAAUCAAUGGGCAUUUCCACCACAUGUGUAUAAAUGUUCCUUCAUUCCCACCAUUUCUCCAACAUUGCAGAGAAAUAUUUUUGUCUAUUUUGCUUAGCAAUGUGGGGUGCAAGUUAGCUUUGGGUUAGCUUUAAGGUGUUUUCUCUUAUUCAGGCAGAAAUAGCUCGAAAGGGGGCUUGUUGCCACAUUCCUUCCCACAAACCAUCAUCAAUCCCUUCUCCCAAGUCUCUUUCCCAUCUAGUCUUCAACAAGGAGGGUUUGAGGUUGAGAAAUUUACAAUUGCUUUAUAGAUUAAAGCAAUUAGACCUUUACCUCUAGGGUCUGUGGUAUAUAAAAUAUUUUCAAAUGCAGUUAGUGACUCUCCCUUGUUUGUGAAUAUCUGUGCUACUUAUAAAAUGGAUGACUUUAUGGAUUACUAUCCAAUUAUGGGGAAAGUUUUGAACCAUUUCUUGUAGUAUCAAUCCAGACAAUGGGGUGUUUUCUUUGUUAAAGUCUUUAAGCCAAAACAGGCCCACAUUUCCCCAUUUUUCAAAGGGGAAUGUUCUGUCUCUAUUAUAGAAAGUAGGGUGAAAUGCCAAUGGUAUUACAGGAGAAGGCUGAGAGGUCAUCCAUGGGAACCAUUUCUUCCAAAAUUUUAGAUUAGAUAAAAAAGGGGGUUUUCUAUUUCAAUUAAAAUUUUUUAUUAAUUUGCCAAAAUGGGACCCCUCUUAUUGAAUUCUGUUCUUUUGGGUUUUCCAUAUUUAGCCAAGCUAUUUGUUGAGAUCCUUGAAUUACCAGGAAAAUGCUAUGUAGAUGGGCUGCUGCAUACAGGAUAUUAGAUACUGCCGCGCCACCUCCUCUGGCUGGUUGAUAUAACGCUUUGGCCUUUUAUUCUGGUGUAUAAAUUUUAGAAGCAUGUUUUGCCAAAUUUGUAAUUUUUUGUCUUCUGUGGCUAUUGGUAAGACUCUAAAGAGAUAGAGGAGGUGCGGCAGCACCAUCAUUUUUAUAGUGGCGAUUCGGCCCAACCAUGACAGCGAACCCUUGCUCCAAGUUUUCAAUUUUUGUCUAAUCCCUCGGAUCAUUGGACGAAAAUUAAUUUUCCAAAUUGUGAAGGUUCCUGGGGAUAAUAACUCCUAAAUAUUUAAAAUAUUUCUGGUAAAGUUUUAUUCCAGUGGAGUGCUGAAAUUGUAGUUGUACUUCAGGUGGCAUAUGAAUGCAUAGCAGGUCUGAUUUGCUAUAGUUAACAUGAAAACCAGAAACCUUUCCGUAAGCAUCUAGAAUUUUCAUUACUGCCGGGAGACUUGUUCCAGGGCGAGACAGCAUCAAGGCUACAUCAUCUGCAAACAUGUUCACCAGAUGACUCUGCCCAUUAAUUUGUAUUCCAGACACCUCAGGGUCUCCCCUAAGUGCUAGAGCCAAGGGUUCCAUGGCCAGGGCAGAAAGCAGGGGCGACAAUGGGCAGCCCUGCUUCGCACCCUGGCCCAUCAAUAUAGGCUCAGAGUGUAUACCAUUUAUCAAAAUAUUUGUGGUACAAUCCUGCUAUAAGGUAGUCAGCAGUGCAAUGAAUGGGGCUCCCAUGCCAAAACCUCGCAAGGUUUCAAAAAGAAAAUUCCAUUCAAGACGGUCAAAUGCCUUUAUUGCAUACAAUGUAAGGAUGGCUGUUGGUGCCGGUUGGUUUGAUCCCCAGUAUAUUGCACUGAGGAUCCUCCUAAUUGGGGUAGUUAUUGACCUUUGCCUAAUAAAACCUGUUUGAUCCGAAUGUAUAUAAUUUGGUACAAUCAUCGCUAACCUGUGUGUAAUAAUGUUUGUAAGUAAUUUUAAAUCAACAUUUAUUAAUGAGAUAGGCCUCAUUUACUAAUGAGAUAGGACUCAACCAACUCCAAGUCUUUAUUUGGUUUUGGUAGCACUACAAUGUGUGUGUUUUUCCAAGUUCCAGGCAUCAGGCCAUGAUCCUUUGUAUCUGUAAAUAAUUUCAGCAAGAAUGGGACCUCAAGUUCAGAAAAGGUUUUAUAAAAAUAGCCAGUAAACUCAUCUUGUCCAGGGAGGGGAGACGUACUCAUUGUAGCCCCCCACCUCCUCUGGUGAGUCUCCUGGACCAGAAUCAAGUCCAAUCUCCCUUUUCUUAAUUCCUUCCAAACCCGUCUCCUUUUUAUGGGUGACCCCAGUCCUUUAACAUUCCAUGUGAUUAUUUUUAAAUUAUCCAUACUUGCUCCAGGAUGAUUAGUACGUCAUAGGAGCGCAUGGAAAACAUUAUAUCUAAAAGGCAAUUGUUGGCAACUUGCAAUAGUUUAACAGCUGGAUGGAGAACAAACCCCAAACUUCCCCUCCCCCCCUUUCCCCUCCCACCUACAACAAGAAAAUAUCCUCCUACUGUUGGAACCAUUGUGGUAUCCACAGAGUAGUGAAUUCUACUCUUUCAGUGGUGUUAACAAUAGGGUAUGACCAAAAUCACCGCUCCCCCCCCCCCAGGAACAUUCUAUAUAGUAAAGUUACAAAGCAUGUCAUAAAAACUAAGACAAAACUAUCUCACAAAGAGCAGAAGCCAUCUUGUGGGAUUCUCUGUCCAUUUUUCUUCUGCAUUGGGUUUUUUCCCCUUUAAUUUUCUUCACUGUCUUCCCCCCUUGUUGUUGCCAUCCAAAGGGGUCUUUUUCUGUCUCUUCAUCGGCGCUUUCCUCCACUCCUUCUUUGUCAUGUCUUCAAUCUGUACAUUGAGCUGUUUCAAUAAUUUUUUAGCUUCUACAUGCGAGGCUGCUACCUUGGUUAUUCCAUUAUGAGUGAUGAUCAGCUUAAAGGGGAAUCCCCAUUUGUAUUUUAUCCCUGCAUUGCAAAGUAAUGUGGUGUAUGCUUUGAAUUCACAACCUCGCUGCAAGGUCCCAGGAGAAAGGUCUUGGAAGAUAGCUAUAACAGAGUCCUCAUGUUCUAUUUUUUCCAGUUUUCUGAAAUGUUGCAUUAAAUCAUUUUUCACCAAGAACGUGUUAAAGCGGACAAUCACAUCUCUGGGGGGUUCCCGUUUUUUAGGUUUUGGUCUCAGGGCUCUGUGUAUGCGUUCUAUAUUUUCUGCACUGAUUCUGCAGUCAGGAAAUAAUUCUUGAAUCCACAUGAGGAAGGCCACUUUUAGAUCUGAGUCUCCAAGUUAAGUCUCCUUUCCCAAUCUUGAGAGUCUUCCAGUUGGAUUCUAAGGUCUGCUUGCACGCGUUUCAGAGUCCAAAUAUAUAUUUUAUUUUUCAAGCUUAUUCCAUUGCUGUGUUAGCUGUAGUUUUAACAUCAUUCACAGUCUCAGUUAAUUUAGCAAUGUCUUCUCUCAGUGGGAGGAGUGCUUUUGCCCAGUCUUGGGCUAAUUCCUUCCUGAUUAGGGCUACUAGGCCUUGUGCAUUUUCAAGGCCUAUCAGUUUCCCUGCUUCUGCUUUGACAUUUUUGGAAGCCUUGGCAACCAUUUUUGGCCUGCUAGUGCUUGUGCUAGUGCUUGGCCUGUGCCUGAGGGAGAUUCUUUCGAAGGUAGUGAAAUUCACGAAUCUAAGGUCCCUUUUAGCAAUCCAGGCUUCCUAAAGCUCAUCACCUAACAGGGGGAAUUAUUUUUUAAAUGCUUACUCAUCAUUGUCUCAGUUUGUGCUGGUUAUUGUUCUCAGGAAGAAGCUCAGCGGCAAUUUAAGUAACCAUCUUGGUUGAUGAUGUCACCACCACCACCACCACCCCCCACCCCCGUCUUCAGUUCAUAUUGAGAGGGGAAGAACUGGUGGUUAUAUAGGUCAUUUUGGGAACACCACCAACAAAGCGAAGCAACACAAAACUUCAAUCAGUCAUCUAUUUCAAUAAGUUUACUCCAGUACACAGGUUUAUUGGUUAUGUAUUCCUGGUGUGGAAUAGAGGGGG